AGGGGUGUGGCUGUGUAAAGCAAAGUACUGAAUCUGUAUUAAGUAAGCCAGACUAUUGAAUGCACAUGUAAACAGUGUGUGUAAUAAACAGCCCUGUCUGUCCUUUGGCACGGUGGAUUAGAGGAGCUCUCCUCUGAACGCCCAGCAUGCUGAAUAAAGAAGAAUGCUCUUUUUAACAUCUCCAAAUUGGGGUGAAGAAGUUUGUUUCUGCUGCUUUUCAGUGUCAUUUUUGGCCCCCAGACAGGACACCUCUGCCUGAUCUCCCGCGGAUCCGAGGGAUCUCUGGAUCUUCACGCCAGCACCAGGACUUUGCUGCAGAAGAGCACAGAUCCCCAGCCCAGUCUGGGACACAGAACCUGUGAAAGGGCAGAAAGAUUGUGGUGUGAAUGCAGCGCCCUCAGAGCCCUUGGUGUGAGCCCGGAAAGGAAAAUCAAGCUGAGGGACAAGAUCAGUCUAAUUUGGGGACAUUGUUGGAGGUUGGAGUUGCAGUUCUGGAAGAAAUCCCUGAGGAAAUGGUGCCCCGGGGAGAGGAAGAGGAUGAGAGCGUGGGCAGCCUGGUUCAAACAUCCCCCCAGGAGACUUGGGAUCAGUCCCUGUGCAUCCUGUAAGAAAGAUGGACACUGGAAAUGGGAUUGUCCACAACUGAAACUUCAGAACCCUCCGAACCCUCUCGUGGCAUCACUGAAGACAACUGAGGGGGCACCAGAGGAUUCUUCCCCAUCAGAACAUCUGGUUCCAGCCAAGCUAAGCACAAUUGUUUGUGGCUGUGGGAACUUGUUCCUCUGUGUUAAAUCCGGGAAAAUGAAACUCAAGGGACAAUUCUAGAACAAUUGUCUGGUGUGCCAGGGAAUUGGGAAACUGGGCCAUUUUUAAUGCUGUGGCUUUGAAAUUGGGAAAACAGUGGUUGGCUCCCCAGUUUUUGUAUUUCCCCAAUUCCCCAAAGCCUCUGCUUGGGAGAGAUCUCUUGGCAAAAUGAAAUGCCACAAUCCAAUUGAAAAAUGGUCCAAUAUAGGUUAUUAUUGCAGAGCCUAAUUCUGGGGAAGUUUCUAGUUUUGCAUGAGAGUCUCCAGAAGCAGAAGUAAUCCAUCUGCCACCAUCACUUGGGGAUGCAGUGGUUCCAACAGGAUGGGCUGGAGAGGUGCCUCCAUGAUCCAAGAGAGCAGAACCCGUGAGAAUUCCAGAGAAACCUGGAGUGGGGUUGGUGGGGCCAAAGCAAUGUCCUUUGCAAAUAGAAAGUUGUAAGGGAUUCUCACCCUUUGUAGAACAAUUGAUGAAAUUUUGCUUGUGAAAAGAAUGUGAAUCUAAAUGGAA